AUGAAACCUAUUAGUGCAAAAGCCCCGUGGAGAGCUACAAAAGUCCAUAGACCGCCUAAAUUCCUUUUUCCUUUUCUUUUUUGUCCAGAAUUGAACAAAAAAGAAAAAAGGGGAAUUCGUAGUCACUUUUUCCUGUCGCGUAAAAAAAAGUCUUUACGCGAGAGCAAUAGAGGUUGGGAUACAUCUAUCUCUUCUGAGCAACCUCUUUUGGAUUCUUAA
rnacentral:rRNA from 1 species